rnacentral:rRNA from 1 species
CAGCAGCCGCGGGAAUACGAAGGGUGCAAGCGUUAAUCGGAAUUACUGGGCGUAAAGCGUGCGUAGGCGGUGAGUUAAGUCUGCUGUGAAAUCUCCGGGCUCAACCUGGGAAUGGCAGUGGAUACUGGCUCGCUAGAGUGUGUCAGAGGAUGGUGGAAUUCCCGGUGUAGCAGUGAAAUGCGUAGAGAUCGGAAGGAACAUCUGUGGCGAAGGCGACUAUCUGGGCCAACACUGACACUGAGGCACGAAAGCGUGGGGAGCAAACAGGAUUAGAUACCCGAGUAGUCCCUGUCUCUUAUAC